GUGAGAGUGUGUGUGUGUGUGACUGCGCACCAGCGUCUCUCUCACAGCCUGCGCGCGGAGCCGAGGACUCGGAUCGCGCUCCGCCAACAGCCUCUCACUGCUCUCAUUUGAGCACGCGGCUCGCGGCACAUGCACACACGCUUUCUCUCUCUCCUUGUCCUCUUUUUCUCCUGCAUUCAGACUCCAACCGAGAGGGGAUUUAACACACGCAGCCAGCUGCGGAGGACAUCCCGAGCCCCUAAAAAUGCGAGAUGUUUCUCCUAGUUGCUCCCGCAGACAGGAAUCUGCUCGCAGAGACGCGAGCCACGCUCUCCCCCAGGAGAGAAGUACAAAGGCCAGUCUGCACGCGGCAGAUGCAAAACCAAGUCCCUCUGCUGCAGGCUUCCCAUCGCCACAUGGAGAUUGAAAAGUGAGGGGAGCGUUCGCAUAGACGCCGCUGGAACGUGAGCAAGGAACCAGCUGUUGGGCUUUGGACCGCAAGGUCAAUGAGGACAAACAAUUCCAGCAGCGGCUCUUGAGCGCAUG